rnacentral:siRNA from 1 species
GGGUGUUGGUCGAUUAAGA